UAGCAAUGUUGCCUGUUCUUUGUUAUAUUAUGGAACACUAUGACCUCUAUAGUGUUAAUCAAUAUUUAGUAUGAGAGGCAAUCAGAGGGCGCUAUCAUGCAAACUAGGAUUGUCUGCUCAUGCACAGAACCAACUACCGAUAACUAACAGUGCAUGAAGGUUAGUUAUUCCAUAUUAAUUGCACCGAGGCCACGCGGAGUACGAUCGAGGGUACAGUGCACUCACUUAAUUGUUAUUGUGUAAUUACAGCCACCACAGAGAAAUUUAAAGGUCUGUACUAGUUUACUAGGUGUAGCAGAUGCUCCAUGAUGAGAAAGCGCUGUGGUGGGGAAUAAUUGCAUGGGGUAAUUUGGGUAAAAUUAAUUUGGUUUAGAUGGGGUAGUUAGC
rfam:White-eye coronavirus HKT16, complete genome